AUGCUCUACGUCCUCCACAAGCUGGACGACGUCGAGCUCAUGUUCGGUGGCCCGGCCAGGGUGUGCCGCUCCUGGCACGACGCCGUGUGCGAGCCCGAGCUGUGGCGCCGGAUCGACAUGCGCGGCCGCUCCCUGUGCUUCCGAGAGACGGUCAGCCUCAAAAAUAUGGCGCAGCUCUCCAUUUGGUUCAGCGCCGGGCAGUGCCGAGAGUUCUUCGGCCAGCACGACGUCGACAACGACCUCCUCCUCUUCCUGGCCGACCGGGCACCCUUAUUGAAGAGUCUUCAUCUUAUCAAGCAUUGUGAUGUGACCAGUGAAACAUUUGCAAAGGCAAUAAUGAAAUUCCCUCUGUUGGAGGAGCUCAAGCUUUGGGAGUGUGAGACACAUGACACCGGGGUCUUUGACCUUGUUGCCAUGGCUUGUCCACAACUGAAGCACUUAAAACAUGUCAAAGAUAGAGGAUAUUCACGAUAUAUAUGGCUUGAAUACCCUACCGAUAACAGCGAAGCCUUGGCAAUUGCGAAGAUGCAUGAGCUACGCUCCUUGAAGCUUUUCCACGGCGGCCUCGACAACCAAGGAUUGACAGCCAUCCUUGAUGGUUGCCCUCAUCUGGAGUACCUUGACAUACGGUAUUGCAACAACAUCAUCAUGGAUAGGAGCAUGCGAGCAAAGUGCGCCCAUGUUAAGAAGAAGAAACUGUAUCCAUCUGCGCCAAUGGAUAAUUGGGUGUGUCCUUGGUCUGACAUCCAUGAUGACUUCACCAUUGAUUCUGAUUAUUUCGAGCCUAGCAUCACUGUUUGUAGUUGCUAUCGUCCAUGGGAUAGGGAUAGGCAUUGGUGCUAUUGCAACCAUGAUGAUGAGCCAGAUUGUCGUUUUUCAAUGUGGAGCCUUAUGACUCUAAGGACUCUGAUCAUUCUCGCUUCUUUAGUGGUGCCGAGGAGAACGAGUUUGAGUAUUGGAGAACCUAAGGAACAUUUGAAUGUUUUGAUGGAAGCGCCCGACCUGGCCAGAUGUUGCACUCACUGA
rnacentral:rRNA from 1 species